rnacentral:rRNA from 1 species
AUUGAACGCUGGCGGCGUGCUUAACACAUGCAAGUCGAUCGGUAACAGGUGUAGCAAUACAUGCUGACGAGAGGCGGACGGGUGAGGAACGCUUGGGAAUCUGCCUAUCAGCGGGGGACAACCCGGGGAAACUCGGGCUAAUACCGCAUACGCUCUACGGAGGAAAGCCGGGGACCGCAAGGCCUGGCACUGAUAGAUGAGCCCAAGUCGGAUUAGCUAGUUGGUAGGGUAAAGGCCUACCAAGGCGACGAUCCAUAGCUGGUCUGAGAGGACGACCAGCCACACUGGAACUGAGACACGGUCCAGACACCUACGGGUGGCAG